GGACACAUAUUUAUAUUGAAAAGACAUUACAAAGUGCAUUUUGUCUAAUUAUUGUAAAUGUGUUUUGUUUUUUUCUGAGUGGAUAUAUGACUGGACUGUAAUCUUAUAUUCCACAGGGGGACCAAGGCAUAUGCCUGAAAGGAAAAGGCAACAAAAGAAUUGCUCCUACCACACUCGCCUAGAGGUUUUCCCCAUCAGGAGUGUAUUAAGAGAAAGAGUGAGAAAGGGCAAAGCAGAAAUGCUGGUUGACUGGGAGCCUUGUCCAGUAUGUGGUGAGCAGUGGGCCCAUUCCUGGCAGCCAAAGGAUUCACUCCAAAAUAAUGAAAAUAAAUAAAAUGUAUCUUUAGAACUCUAAACAUUUAGGUCUCAGCCUAUUUAUUAAACUGUUUCUAUGCUGCAUUUGAAGUCAUAUCUCAUCUUUCUGUAGUAGUGAAAAGGGGAACAUCUCCAAGAUUGUGAACUGGAGUUUAAUCUCAAAAGGGAAUGUACUAGAAAUUUACUCAAUCCAACUCAAUUUUCUUUUUCAGAUGUUAUUCAAAAGCAUGCUUUUUAUAUUUCAUGAUUAUAAAUUGCACUGUUAUUUUAUUACAGUUGACAUGUAAUUUGAUUUCAUUCAGUUCUGUUUUCUGUGCUUUUCAAGUUCACUUAACCUCACAGUCCACUGUUAAGAAAUACAACCUUAUGGCUUGUUUGACAUGAAGCUUAAAUAUGAAGUUUCAACAAAUAAGACUGACCUUCUUUAUACUCACACAUUAUAUCAUAUCUUUUACAUUGUCUCCACCGUGGUCAUCAGGAGAAGAGCUCUACAUUCAUCUAGAUCUCAACAUCUACCCACCCCUUCACCACCACCAGUGUCGGCUCCAUGUAGGGGAUAUCCCUUUUUCAUAUCAUGCAUUUCUUUUAAAAUAAUGAUGUCUUGAUGUGGUCCAAUUGCAAAAAACUUUAUAGUUUCAAUUUGUUAUGCACCUUGUCAAUAAAUUUGUUUGAUCACUCUUUAAGCCUCUAGUGA